rnacentral:rRNA from 1 species
GAUCCUGGCUCAGGAUGAACGCUAGCGACAGGCUUAACACAUGCAAGUCGAGGGGCAUCGGGGAGUAGCAAUACUCUGCCGGCGACCGGCGCACGGGUGAGUAACGCGUAUGUAACCUGCCUUAUACAGGGGGAUAGCCCAUGGAAACGUGGAUUAAUAUCCCAUAGUACAAAAGUAUCGCAUGGUAUUUUUGUUAAAGCUUCGGUGGUAUAAGAUGGACAUGCGUCCUAUUAGGUAGUUGGUAGGG